rnacentral:rRNA from 1 species
GACGAACGCUGGCGGCGUGCUUAACACAUGCAAGUGGGGCGACGAACCAGGCUUCGGCCUGGGGCAAAGCCGCGAACGGGUGAGUAACACGUGGGUAACCUGCCCCGAUGACCGGGACAACCCGAGGAAACUCGGGCUAAUACCGGAUGUGCUCGCACCACACCAGUGGUGUGCGUAAAGGUAGCUUCGGCCUCCGCAUCGGGAUGGGCCCGCGGCCCAUUAGCUUGUUGGUGAGGUAACGGCUCACCAAGGCUGCGAUGGGUAGCUGGUCUGAGAGGACGAUCAGCCACACUGGGACUGAGACACGGCCCAGACUCCUACGGAGGCAGCAGUGGGGAAUCUUGCGCAAUGCGCGAAAGCGUGACGCAGCAACGCCGCGUGGGGGAAGAAGG